CCUACGGGAGGCAGCAGUGGGGAAUUUUGGACAAUGGGCGCAAGCCUGAUCCAGCAAUGCCGCGUGAGUGAAGAAGGCCUUCGGGUUGUAAAGCUCUUUUGUCAGGGAAGAAACGGUGGGGACUAAUACUUCCUGCUAAUGACGGUACCUGAAGAAUAAGCACCGGCUAACUACGUGCCAGCAGCCGCGGUAAUACGUAGGGUGCAAGCGUUAAUCGGAAUUACUGGGCGUAAAGCGUGCGCAGGCGGUUGUGCAAGACAGAUGUGAAAUCCCCGGGCUCAACCUGGGAAUUGCAUUUGUGACUGCACGGCUAGAGUGUGUCAGAGGGGGGUAGAAUUCCACGUGUAGCAGUGAAAUGCGUAGAGAUGUGGAGGAAUACCGAUGGCGAAGGCAGCCCCCUGGGAUAACACUGACGCUCAUGCACGAAAGCGUGGGGAGCAAACAGGAUUAGAUACCCUGGUAGUCCACGCCCUAAACGAUGUCUACUAGUUGUCGGGUCUUAAUUGACUUGGUAACGCAGCUAACGCGUGAAGUAGACCGCCUGGGGAGUACGGUCGCAAGAUUAAAACUCAAAAUGAAAUUGAGG
rnacentral:rRNA from 1 species